rnacentral:rRNA from 1 species
UACGUAGGGUGCAAGCGUUAAUCGGAAUUACUGGGCGUAAAGCGUGCGCAGGCGGCUAUGCAAGACAGAUGUGAAAUCCCCGGGCUCAACCUGGGAACUGCAUUUGUGACUGCAUAGCUAGAGUACGGUAGAGGGGGAUGGAAUUCCGCGUGUAGCAGUGAAAUGCGUAGAUAUGCGGAGGAACACCGAUGGCGAAGGCAAUCCCCUGGACCUGUACUGACGCUCAUGCACGAAAGCGUGGGGAGCAAACAGGAUUAGAAUACCCUU